CGGUCGACUACGCCGAACGUCUUCCUUUCGCCUAAAGAUUAAAACAUGCAUAUUUAGAGGCCCACCCUAGCACGGUGGUCCUGGUGGAUGGCUCCAUAAUAAAAUACUAGACUACCCGACUGUGAGAAUCUAAGCGGAUACCUUUUGUAACCAAAAGCUAAUACGGGAAGCAACUGCCCGCCUCUGGCGUGCUGCUCGCGUUGGCUGAAACCAACCCCCUCGUGGGCCCUGGUGAAUCACAACGUCAAGCGUGGCUCCCUCGUGGAGCCGAGUCGGUCGUGGUUUUUCCUUAUUAGGUUUCGAUGGUAGGGUAUUGGCCUACCAUGCCGAUAAUGAGUAACGGGGGUUUUGGGACCGGCUCCGGAGAAAAAGCCUGAGAGACGGCUUUUAGACCUAUGGGUUGCAGCAGUUGCGAAACUUGCCCAAUGCUCCCUGAGCGAGGCAGUGACAGGCUAUAUCAAAGCGCGGCUCUUCGAGUCGUGCUAUUGGCAUGAGUCCGGUUCAAAUCCCCUAAUGAGGAUCUAGUCGAGGGCAAGUCUGGUGCCAGCAGCCGCGGUAAUUCCAGCUCGACGAAGGAACACGAUCUUUGUUGCAGUUAAAAAGCUCGUAGUUGAACCUCUGCGCUCGGGCGUGGGGUGCGGGGGCAACCUCGCGCUCACCGACCGAGCGCAUGCUCGGGGCGGGGCGGGCUCCCGCGAGGGGGUCCGUUCCUUAGCCCCGUACGUUACUGUGAACAAAACGGAUCGUUCAUGGAAGGUUUUUAGCCUGAACGACUCGCACGGAAUAACACUCAAGGACUUCCGUCCUUUUCGUUGGUUUGGGAUGGGGGUUUGGUUAACAGGAACAGCUGGGGGUAUUUGUACUGUCGUGCUAGAGGUGAAAUUCUUGGAUUACGACAUGACAAACGACCGCGAAGGCAUUUACCAAGGAUGUUUUCAUUAAUCAAGAACGAAAGUUCGGGGAUCGAAGAUGAUUAGAUACCAUCGUAGUCCGAACCGUAAACGAUGCCGACUCGGGAUUCCGGCGUGCUGUCGCGGCUGCCGGGGCACCGUAUGAGAAAUCAAAGUCUGAGGGUUCCGGGGGGAGUAUGGCCGCAAGACUGAAACUUAAAGAGAUUGACGGAAGGGCACACCAGUAGUGGAGCCUGCGGUUUAAUUUGACCCAACACGGGGAAACUUACCAGGCCCAGACAUGAGAAGGAUUGACAGUUUGAGAGCACUUUCUUGAUUUUAUGGGUUGUGGUGCAUGGCCGUUCUUAGUUGGUGGAGUGAUUUGUCUGGUUGAUUCCGAUAACGAACGAGAC
rnacentral:rRNA from 1 species